GAUGAACGCUGGCGGCGUGCCUAACACAUGCAAGUCGAACGAGAUGCGUAUUGGAAAGCUUCGGCCGGAAGAUGCGUUAUCUAGUGGCGGACGGGUGAGUAACACGUGGGUAACCUGCCUUAUGGAGGGGGAUAACAGAGAGAAAUCACUGCUAAUACCGCAUAAGCACACAUUGCCGCAUGGCAGAGUGUGAAAAGAUUUAUCGCCAUAAGAUGGACCCGCGUCUGAUUAGCCAGUUGGCAGGGUAAAAGCCUACCAAAGCAACGAUCAGUAGCCGAUCUGAGAGGAUGACCGGCCACAUUGGGACUGAGACACGGCCCAAACUCCUACGGGAGGCAGCAGUGGGGAAUAUUGCACAAUGGGGGAAACCCUGAUGCAGCGACGCCGCGUGAGUGAAGAAGUAUUUCGGUAUGUAAAGCUCUAUCAGCAGGGAAGAUAAUGACAGUACCUGACUAAGA
rnacentral:rRNA from 1 species